rnacentral:misc_RNA from 1 species
UUUCCGUAGGUGAACCUGCGGAAGGAUCAUUCAUAAUAAGUGUUUUAUGGCACUUUUUUAAAUCCAUAUCCACCUUGUGUGCAAUGUCAGGGUUGAUUUUUCUCUCGAGAGGAUCAGCCCCAAACAUCAACUAUAUCUCAACUCUUUGUCUGAAAAAUAUUAUGAAUACUUAAUUCUAAAUACAACUUUCAACAACGGAUCUCUUGGCUCUC